rnacentral:rRNA from 1 species
GACGAACGCUGGCGGCGUGCUUAACACAUGCAAGUCGAACGGAGUGGCGAACGGGUGAGUAACACGUGGGUGAUCUGCCUCGCACUUCGGGAUAAGCUUGGGAAACUGGGUCUAAUACCGGAUAGUGCAAGAUGAGCUCGCGGGCUAUCAGCGUGUUGGUGGGGUAAUGGCCUACCAAGGCGUCGACGGGUCGCCGGCCUGGGAGGGUGUACGGGCACAUUGGGACUGAGGUACGGCCCAGAGUGCUACGGGGGGCAGCAGUGGAGAAUCUUGCACAAUGGGCGGAAGCCUGAUACAGCGACGCCGGGUGGGGAAUGAAGGCCUUCGGAUUGUAAAGUCCUUUCGACAGGGACGCGGUACCUGUAUAAGAAGCACCGGCUAACUACGUGCCAGCAGCCGCGGUAAUUC